UUGGCUCCUUUUUUUUUUAACAAAUCUUCAUAAAAAGCACAAUUAGGGCGCUGUAAAUUUGGAUUUGUUUGUAUUGACAGGACACCAUGUAAAUAUCCAGGGAGGCAGGUGGCCUUCCAUGUAAAUGAAGGCUCAACGAAUUUUUGGCUAUCCCUUCUGGUCGAGUUUGAGGGUGGAGAUGGAGACGUUGGAUCAAUGCAUAUAAGACCAGCAAGUUCUAGUGAGUGGAUACAGAUGAACCAUGUAUGGGGUGCAAAUUGGUGCAUAAAUGGAGGACCCUUAAACGGGCCCUUCUCAGUGAAGGCUCUCAACAGCAAAAACUCUCUCUGCCAGAGAUGUGAUUCCAAGCAAUUGGUCUCCAAAAGCCACUUACACUUCUCGCCUAAAUUUCCACUCCUAGCUAACUAAUGGCAACAGCACUUUUGCAGAGGUGUGGUCUUUGACAAAGAGGUCAAGAUGUAGAAGCACUUUUUUUAACUAAGCACUUUCUAGUCCCACAGAACAGGGCUUGUCCCCAUGACCCAAAAGUAGCCGUUGGAUUGCACUAAUUAUAAUGGCAUCCAAUGCUCUUUCUUUUUUCUUUCUCUUUUUUUUCUUUUUCUCUUUUCCUACGUUGUACUGUUCAACUGGUUUUGUUUGUAGAUGUGCACUACUGAUGAGAUGUAGCCCUCUCCAAAAGGAGAGAGAGCGUGUGUUCUUUGCUUCACUAAUGCUAUGUAAGAUUGUGGGCCCAAUGGGUUUUUAAUGAAUCUGAACCGUUCGAUUGC